rnacentral:misc_RNA from 1 species
UCCCCGUUACCGGGGCAGUCUGGUUAGAAAAAUACAACUAACCAUAGGGGUUGCGCUCGUUGAUGGACUUAACCAAACAUCUCACGACACGAGCUGACGACGGCCAUGCAACACCUGUUACUGGGUUCCCGAAGGCACUCACGUCUUUCGACAUAAUUCCCAGAAUGUCAAGCCUUGGUAAGGUUCUUCGCUUACCAUCGAAUUAAACAACACGCUCCACCGCUUGUGCGGGUCCCCGUCAAUUCCUUUGAGUUUUAGUCUUGCGACCGUACUCCCCAGGCGGGAUACUUAACGCGUUAGCUUCGCUACAUACCGGGUCGAUACGGCAUACAGCUAGUAUCCAUCGUUUACGGCGUGGACUAC